UGAGGUGACCCCAGCACCACUGAGAGCCACAGCAGGUAUCAGGUUCAACUUUAGAGGCGCUUCCCUUGAAGGUACUGUGCAGACAGACAGCAAUCCCCCUCCCCAUUCGCCAGACACCCUUCACCUGAAAUCAAGACAUGUGCUUCAUUGCACUUAUUAUAAUUUAUACUUGUUUUAUGUAUGUGUCUUUUUUUGUUAAUAUCAUGUUUUUCAUACUAAAUGAGGGUUCUAUGGUAAGAAGAAACAUGCCAAUUGCUUUUACCAAAGUCCAGAUACAUUCUGGCCCAGAGAAGAAUCUCAGCAAUAUUUGCUGCAAAGCACGUUGAAAACAAAGCCCCAGAGGAGGACACAGGCUUUGGAGGCCACCAGAAUGUGACUCUAAUCCCACUCUUUUACUGAUAAGCUGAAUGACUUCCUUUUCCUCAUCAGUAAAAUGGAGAUAUUUUAUAACUUAUAGGGUUACAGUAGACAUUCAAUGAAAGGUAUCUCUUACUAAUUUUAUUUCUCCCAGUUUUCUCAGCAAUGGCACUAAUUAGAAUCUGACUCAUUUUUUUUACAGUGAACUUGGGUAAAAAUGUUGAAAUGUGAUAAAUUAAAUUAAAAUGAUUGCAAUAUAAAAAUAUAAUUUGUUAAUUUGUGUGGCUUCACAUACAAUAGAAAUAUCAUGUCACAGAAAGUGGUAUGGUCUUAGGUAAAUCCAAAUAAAAUGACUCCUAGUCUCAGUCCAUCUAGAGCAAUUAGAGAAAGAAAUUGGCCAAGGAAUUGUUUUGAUGCUCCGAUUAGAUAUGGUUAUUUGAUUGCCUUCCAAAUUGAGAAGCAUUAAUCAGAAGCAACAUGACAUUGUUUUUAAAUAUAAUAAGGGUGCAGUGGUUUCCAGGCACGUGACCUCCCUUUCAAAUGUAUAUAUUAACAUCCUCAUGCCCACGUGAUGAUAUUAGGACAUGGCGUCUUUGGGAGAUGAUAAGGACACUGCUCUCAUGAAUAGAAACAUAAAAGAAGCCAGAGAGAGACCCUUCGUCGCUUCCAUCAUGUGAGGUUACAGAGAGAACACAGCUAUCCGUGAGGAGCCAUGCCUUCACCAGAUGUGGCACCUGCUGGUGCCAUAACCUUGGAUGUUUCUUAGCCUCUUGAACUGUGAGAAAUAAAUGUUUGUUGUCUAUAAGUCACUCAGUUUAUGGUCAAACAAAGUAGGACAAAAGGCAAAAAAUGAGUGUAAUUUCUCAAAACCCACAUCCCCUGGGAGAAGCAAUACACCUCAAACCAUUCUUUAUUUUUUUCAGUGAAUUCAAAUAAUCAUCAGAAAAGCUAAAAAUAAGAUCCAUGUUUCUUUCAAUAUCUAACUUCAACAGCGUCAGGUACAUCUUAACUGCAAGAUUCUGUGUUUCGUGGGAGAAAUCUCUACACUUUGGAAAAUGACUUUAUUGGAUUUAUUGCCUGAAUAGCUCAUCUAGACAGUGCAUGAUAAAAGCCCAAUGCUGGAAUGGAUAAGAUUAUGGUUCAAAUUAAUGGACCAAGAAGGAAGUAGGAAGGUUGCUUAUUAAGGGCUUUCCUGUGAAGGAUCUAGAGAUCUAAACUGAAUGCAGUGACACUAAUAAGCGACUAAUGUCAGCCUACAAUUCUUCAGCUUUGUUAAUGAUUUUCCUCUUAAAAACCAUAGUCCCUCCACACCUUGAACCCAAACAUCUUCCCAUAGAAAAAUCAUUUUUAACAUGCAGAUUUCAUAGUAGAGUUAGAUUUAGGACAAAGAAAAAGAAUGGAGAACAAAAAUAAUCACCAUCAUUUUUAUGUACACCCCAUGGGCUUCAUAGAAAUGAGGAUUUUGUUUCAGUAAGUUCAUCAAAACUCAAAAAUAAAAAGGAUUCUUGUGAUUGUAACCACAUAGAAGAACCUGGAAGAUAUGAUGCUAAGUGAAAUAAGCCUGGCUUAGAAGACAGAUGCUACCCAAUCUCACAUAUAUGUGGAAUCUAAAAAUAUCAAACUCAUAGAAGCAGAAAAUAGAAUGGUGAUUGCCAGUACCUGAGAUAUGGGGAAAAUGGAGAUGUUUGUUAUAAAGUACAAACUGUCAGUUAUAAGUAAACUAAGUUCUAGGGGUCUAAUGAAUAGCAUAGUAACUAUAGAUAAUAAUACUGUAUUGUUUACCUGAAACACACACACACACACACACACAGUAAUUUGUGUUAAUUUAACACAGUGUUAAUUUGAUUUUGGUAAUCAUUUAACAAUGUAUACAUAUAUUAAAUAUGUUAAUAUUUUAUACAUAUAUUAGAUAAUCAUGUUGUACAUCUUGAAUAGAUGCAUUUUUAAAUUUGUCACUUAUACCUCAAUAAAACUGGAAAAAAAGACCUAAAAACAGA
rnacentral:lncRNA from 1 species